CAACGCUGGCGGCGUGCCUCAGACAUGCAAGUCGAACGAUUAAAGCUCUCUUAGGAGAGUGCAUAAAGUGGCACACGGGUGAGUAACACGUAAGUAAUCUACCUUCGAGUGGGGAAUAACGUCCGGAAACGGACGCUAAUACCGCAUAAUGCAGCGGCACCUAAUGGUGACAGUUGUUAAAGAAUUUAUUCGCUUGAAGAGGAGCUUGCGGCAGAUUAGCUAGUUGGUAAGGUAAUGGCUUACCAAGGCUUCGAUCUGUAACCGGUCUAAGAGGACGGUCGGUCACACUGACACUGAAUAGCGGGUCAGACUCCUACGGGAGGCAGCAGUCGGGAAUUUUGGGCAAUGGGCGAAAGCCUGACCCAGCAACGCCGCGUGAAGGAUGAAGUAUUUCGGUAUGUAAACUUCGAAAGAAUGGGAAGAAUCAAUGACGGUACCAUUUAUAAGGUCCGGCUAACUACGU
rnacentral:rRNA from 1 species